UACGUAGGGUGCAAGCGUUGUCCGGAAUUAUUGGGCGUAAAGAGCUCGUAGGCGGUUUGUCGCGUCUGCUGUGAAAACGCGAGGCUCAACCUCGCGCCUGCAGUGGGUACGGGCAGACUAGAGUGCGGUAGGGGAGAUUGGAAUUCCUGGUGUAGCGGUGGAAUGCGCAGAUAUCAGGAGGAACACCGAUGGCGAAGGCAGAUCUCUGGGCCGUUACUGACACUGAGAAGCGAAAGCAUGGGGAGCGAACAGG
rnacentral:rRNA from 1 species